ensembl:lncRNA
UUUUUUUUUUCAUUCCAAUUCGCAGGUGAAAUGGGUGCAGUGGUUCAAUCAAGGCUUUGCUCGGAUUGAGAAGACCCUAAGAACCCAGGCAACAAAGGCAGAUGCUGUGGUGUGUGUCUCUACUGUAAGUGCCUUUUGAAGAAUUGGCACAGUCAUCUGGCGAACACCUCACAUCUCUCACAAACAAAUGAAGACCCAGUGCUUCAAAGUGAGAUUGAUAUCUCUCUCUGAAGUUUAUCCCGAAUAUUCUGAAUAUUGAGAGAGGUGCACUCCUCCCUUGGGAUCGUCGCCGCGCCUUCUACUCCCCUGCUCUGCCAAAGAGGGGAAAAAGAUUGCCCCUGUAGAUCUUUCAUGUUCAUCAAUAUUCACUCAUUCAUCGUGAACCAUGGCAGCUGAAAUUCGUCCAAGUAUUGCUGGAUGGAUGGCCCGGGGAUCCACUUUGUCGCACACAUCAGCACCACAAAUGGUGAAGAACUAGCAGCUCCUGUGAUGUGGGUGACGCCACUUUUUCAAAGGACUAGCAGAUGCUUGACUGGCUUGUGCAUCACAUGGUGAUAAGGAAAGAUAGACCAUGAAUUCCUUGCUUCCCUUCUCAACGAGAAUAAAGCCAGUGGUGUGGUAAAGCAGCCUCAGUCAUAGACAGCACACGUACACCUGCAAUAUGAAUCUGAAUCUAAGGGGCAGCAUUCACCUCUUGACUGUCUUUUGAACGACUGAUCAAUCCACAUUUCCAGUCUAUCCUCUCUAUAAUGAUGUUCCCUGAGAAGUAAAUCAAUAAUUGCUAAGCUACAAAGACCAUUUUGUCAUAAAAUGGUAAUUAGUAUGGGUCUUGACCUCCCUCAUGGCAUCCCCCAAUCCCCCAUCUGAGGACCAGGGCAUGUCCAGAGUUGCCACUUAAUGACGCUAACAUUACACACUCGCUGAACAUUGUCGGGCUUUUGUCUUCAUUCACAUCGAAAUGAAGUUCUUGGGGCCCACGUUUAUCAAUCAUGGUGGGGCUCCAGCUGUUCGCCAGUCUUUGGCCUGACUUCAACAGCCGUGCUUACAAAUUGUCUCUGAAUAGCAUGGAGAACCCCCCCCCCCCUUCCCUUUUUGUCACUGUCUCCUGACAAAUGUUCCUCUGCAGCUUUUCCCAGACAUGGCCGACCCUACCUUCUGCUCCUCAC